rnacentral:rRNA from 1 species
UACGGAGGGGGCUAGCGUUUGUUCGGAAUUACUGGGCGUAAAGCGCACGUAGGCGGCUUUGUAAGUUAGAGGUGAAAGCCCAGGGCUUAACCCUGGAAUUGCCUUUAAGACUGCAGUGCUAGAAUCCUGGAGAGGCGAGUGGAAUUCCGAGUGUAGAGGUGAAAUUCGUAGAUAUUCGGAAGAACACCAGUGGCGAAAGGCGACUCGCUGGACAGGUAUUGACGCU